rnacentral:misc_RNA from 1 species
AACCUAGCACACCUGCGGUGUGUACCUGCGGAGGGAUCAUUACCGAGUUUACAACUCCCAAACCCCUGUGAACAUACCAAUUGUUGCCUCGGCGGAUCAGCCCGCUCCCGGUAAAACGGGACGGCCCGCCAGAGGACCCCUAAACUCUGUUUCUAUAUGUAACUUCUGAGUAAAACCAUAAAUAAAUCAAAACUUUCAGCAACGGAUCU